rnacentral:rRNA from 1 species
GUCGAACGAACUCUGGUAUUGAUUGGUGCUUGCAUCAUGAUUUACAUUUGAGUGAGUGGCGAACUGGUGAGUAACACGUGGGAAACCUGCCCAGAAGCGGGGGAUAACACCUGGAAACAGAUGCUAAUACCGCAUAACAACUUGGACCGCAUGGUCCGAGCUUGAAAGAUGGCUUCGGCUAUCACUUUUGGAUGGUCCCGCGGCGUAUUAGCUAGAUGGUGGGGUAACGGCUCACCAUGGCAAUGAUACGUAGCCGACCUGAGAGGGUAAUCGGCCACAUUGGGACUGAGACACGGCCCAAACUCCUACGGGAGGCAGCAGUAGGGAAUCUUCCACAAUGGACGAAAGUCUGAUGGAGCAACGCCGCGUGAGUGAAGAAGGGUUUCGGCUCGUAAAACUCUGUUGUUAAAGAAGAACAUAUCUGAGAGUAACUGUUCAGGUAUUGACGGUAUUUAACCAGAAAGCCACGGCUAACUACGUGCCAGCAGCCGCGGUAAUACGUAGGUGGCAAGCGUUGUCCGGAUUUAUUGGGCGUAAAGCGAGCGCAGGCGGUUUUUUAAGUCUGAUGUGAAAGCCUUCGGCUCAACCGAAGAAGUGCAUCGGAAACUGGGAAACUUGAGUGCAGAAGAGGACAGUGGAACUCCAUGUGUAGCGGUGAAAUGCGUAGAUAUAUGGAAGAACACCAGUGGCGAAGGCGGCUGUCUGGUCUGUAACUGACGCUGAGGCUCGAAAGUAUGGGUAGCAAACAGGAUUAGAUACCCUGGUAGUCCAUACCGUAAACGAUGAAUGCUAAGUGUUGGAGGGUUUCCGCCCUUCAGUGCUGCAGCUAACGCAUUAAGCAUUCCGCCUGGGGAGUACGGCCGCAAGGCUGAAACUCAAAGGAAUUGACGGGGGCCCGCACAAGCGGUGGAGCAUGUGGUUUAAUUCGAAGCUACGCGAAGAACCUUACCAGGUCUUGACAUACUAUGCAAAUCUAAGAGAUUAGACGUUCCCUUCGGGGACAUGGAUACAGGUGGUGCAUGGUUGUCGUCAGCUCGUGUCGUGAGAUGUUGGGUUAAGUCCCGCAACGAGCGCAACCCUUAUUAUCAGUUGCCAGCAUUAAGUUGGGCACUCUGGUGAGACUGCCGGUGACAAACCGGAGGAAGGUGGGGAUGACGUCAAAUCAUCAUGCCCCUUAUGACCUGGGCUACACACGUGCUACAAUGGAUGGUACAACGAGUUGCGAACUCGCGAGAGUAAGCUAAUCUCUUAAAGCCAUUCUCAGUUCGGAUUGUAGGCUGCAACUCGCCUACAUGAAGUCGGAAUCGCUAGUAAUCGCGGAUCAGCAUGCCGCGGUGGAAAUACGUUCCCGGGCCUUGUACACACCGCCCGUCACACCAUGAGAGUUUGUAACACCCAAAGUCGGUGGGGUAACCUUUUAGGAACC